AAUGAACGUUGGCGGCGUGGAUUAGGCAUGCAAGUCGUGCGGCAGCAGGCCCCGCUAGGGGUGCUGGCGAGCGGCGAAAGGGAUAGUAAUGUGUGGAUACCUGCCCUGGGGACGGGGAUAGCUGCUGGAAACGGCAAUUAAUACCCGAUGAUGUCUCCGGACCAAAGGUGUAAUUCCGCCCUAGGAGGGGUCCACAUCCUAUUAGCUAGUUGGUGAGGUAACGGCUCACCAAGGCCACGAUGGGUAGCGGGUGUGAGAGCACGACCCGCAUCACUGGGACUGAGACACUGCCCAGACACCUACGGGUGGCUGCAGUCGAGGAUCUUCGGCAAUGAGCGAAAGCUUGACCGAGCGACGCCGCGUGCGGGAUGAAGGCCUUCGGGUUAUAAACCGCUUUCGGAGGGGAGGAAAUCUAGGGGGGAUCACCCUUCUAGUUGACCUAUCCUAGGAAGAAGGACGGGCUAAGUUCGUGCCAGCCGCCGCCGUAAUAC
rnacentral:rRNA from 1 species